GGGUCAGUAGGUUGGUCGUGCCACCGGUACGUACUGGUCUCACUGAUUCCUCCUUCCUGAAGAACCGUAAUGCCAUUAAUUUGGUGUUGCGGGGAAACAGGACUGUUACUUUGAAAAAAUUAGAGUGUUUAAAGCAAGCUAACGCUUGAAUACAUUAGCAUGGAAUAACGAAAUAGGACGAUCGAUCCUAUUUUGUUGGUUUCCAGGAUUGACGUA
rnacentral:rRNA from 1 species